AUUGAACGCUGGCGGCAUGCCUAACACAUGCAAGUCGAACGGCAGCAUGACGUGUAGCAAUACACGUUGAUGGCGAGUGGCGGACGGGUGAGGAAUGCAUCGGAAUCUGCCCAGUCGUGGGGGAUAACGUAGGGAAACUUACGCUAAUACCGCAUACGACUACGCGUUGAAAGACGCGGGGUGAAAGCGGGGAUCGAAAGACCUCGCGCGAUUGGAUGAGCCGAUGCCGGAUUAGCUUGUUGGUGGGGUAACGCCCACCAAGGCGACGAUCCGUAGCUGGUCUGAGAGGAUGAUCAGCCACAC
rnacentral:rRNA from 1 species